rnacentral:lncRNA from 1 species
UAUAGGCCUCAUCAUAAACAGUAAAGUAUAUCCAAUAAAUAUAACGACCAUAUAUAAGCCGGUUGUGCCAAAAAAGUACAUAUAUGUUUACAGAUGUGUCACACAAUCAAAAUAAAGUAGUGCCACAAAAGGAGAAGUACAUAUGUUUUUAGAUGUGCCACACAGCCAAAAUGAGCUUAACAACCAUCAAAAUGAGCAGAGCAAGUCUCCAGGUUCAACAAACAAGACAUACGACACUAUCAUUCCACCAACUUAAUUGUAGGUCUUCCAAAUCUUCAGCAACUUGAAGAUCUUCCAUACCUCGAUCAACUUUUGUACCUCUAGGAAGCCUGCAAUAGAUCGGCAGAUGUUACACACAACAGUUGCACUCAGAACUUAAGAAAGAUGUUACAACAAUCACAUAUAACAGCCGCAUGCCCACAUACAAAAGCGGCAUAUGUUCUGAAAUAUAGAGAAACAAGUAACAUCUCUAGAGUAAUCUCUACUACAGUACGAACAUGUCCUGGACAUCAACACGUCCAUUUUUUAUCAUCUUGAUAGUAGCAAGCUUAUCUUACUUCUCAUCCUAAUAUAGUGUGCAAAGUCUCUACAAAUAUUAACAAAAACUAGUAGGUGUACCUUGUAUUUUAAACACUUGCCUACAGCAGAAGUGAGGCUAUAGACUCAUGGUAUGUAAUUGGGUGCUUUGGUUGUAAUAUGGUCAUCUAUAUUUGAUCUGAUAAUGGUAGUGUGUCUGCCGCAUAAGGGGCCAAGAACAUAAUGAAUGUUUAGUUUCUCUGCAUUUAGCAAGUUAAUUAAGAAUCUGUAUUAAGUCAAAGUGAUUGUGAAGUUGUAUGCCUGCCAGUAGAUGUACCUGAUAUUGUUGCAAGUACAAGUGUGUGAAAUGAAAGCAUUAGGUAUUUUAAAUUAAAGAGAAAAAUAGAGACAUUUGUUCCAGAUCUCAGGUAUUUAAAACUGGCCAACUUCAUACUGCACAUAGCUAAUAUUACUGUACCAAAGUAAAGCGCGAACAGAAUUUAUGACCAUUUUGAUUUUUUUUCUGCAUUUUCAAACACAAUCACGAGGCCAUGAUCACACCCUAAACAUUACACAAGUGCAUUUUCAAGCUACUGUACUGUACAAGUACAUAUGCAAAUUUACAGUUGUAGCUUCAAGUAGGAUCAGUAAAUUCAGGAUACAAGUUACUGUAAUAAGCAAAGUGGUAUAAGCAGGUUACAUACACAAAGUUACUGUACUAGCCAGCGAAUCAAGUUAGCGUUAUUUGGGCCUACUUUUCUUUCUAAGUCUCUGUAUCUACUACGCUGCCCACAAUAUAAAAAACUGUAAUAAGCGAAGUGGUAUAAGCAGGUUACAUACACAAAGUUACUGUACUAGCCAGCGAAUCAAGUUAGCGUUAUAUGGGCUUACUUUUCCUUCUAAUUCUCUGUAACUACUACACUGCCCACAGUAUAAAAAAUCUAGGACAAGUUUCUAUAUUGGUUGACUAUCCUACAUCUCCCACAACAAGUUGAAUUAGCCUAAAAAAUUAGACCAUGGCUUUGUACAAAUAAACAAACAAGCUGAUUUAUGCACCAGUUUAGGACCUGUGAUGAAUGGAACAUGAAUCAAAUUAAAGUUAUGAGCUGCGCCAUGUAUGGCAUGGGUCGCAUAUACUUGCAUGUUUAAGUAUGUUAUUACACACUAGAUUACAUAUAAAUACAAGUGAGUGAGCAUGGAAUCUAACGAAAAUCAUUUCUCUACAUGGCAGAGUCUUCCGUGUACAUGAAAGGAAGUGGAUCCAGUUGCAGUUUAUAUCAUAUCCUGAAAUACUUCAUGUGACUUGAAGAAAGAACAUAUUUUCAGUAGUGAAAAGACAAUUAUAUCUGUAAUGGAUGAAAAUAAGAUCAGCUGCCACACCCUUUGCUCCCAAGUCCUACCAUCAAUCCAUAAAAGCAUGGUUUUUGAAAAUGGAGCUGACAUAACUAAGGUAAAGUUCACUUGUGUUCAUCUCUCACUUGUGUUAACCAAUAUGAUGACUCAGUGUCUGCAAUCCUAUUGUUUCUAAUUAAUAGUGUUUGAAAGUCAGAUUAUAUGUGUGAAGAGAGCAUUACCACUCACUGAAAAUUUAGUGAACAAGCUGCGGUUUCUUUAUUUCCCUUGCAAGAUUGUUGUUUCCUUCUCUCUUUUUUCCAGAGUGUUGUUUCAGGUUCUUUGUUAGGACUGCAGAUUCUUUCUUUUUUCAAGCAGCAUAGCUUCAUUCUCAUUCUCCUUUUGCAGGCCUUCUACUCCCUUCUUACUUUGCUGUGGCAAAACAGAGAAACAUAUAAAAAUGUUAUAUGAUGAAUAUUUGCUUAAAAACAAUGUGGCCAGAGGUAGGCACAAGAUGCAAAGUGUCAGCUCUCCAAGCUCACGAACAGGCAAAAAUUCAGAGGGUAUCGACGCUCGUUCUCCAUGGUAGCAGGAACCAAAAAUCCACCCAAAAAGUUGGGGGGAAACUCACAUCAGACCAAACAAAUCUAACAACCUCAUCUCAACAUACAAAAUUGACAGCAUCCAAAGGGAUCUGCCCUCUAGGAGACAGGAGGAGGGACAGGGGAGAGGAGGUGUGACGGAUCUGAGCAGCAUCUUGGUAAGGAAAAACUCGUCUGCAUCAGGUUUCCAACAUGACGGAUCUGAGCAGCAUCUUGUGCCAGCGUAGUGAGGAGCAUGCACCACACUCACCGUCGGCGUGGAGGGAACCAUGGUGGGAAGCCUGCCCGUGCUCGUCAGCGCAGAGGGACGUGGAGAUGAGGAGCGCGGCGGCGUGGUUGUGGGGGGACGACCCUGAGAUGUAGAGGAGCCAGGAAGAACCGCUUCCUCUCGCCCUUGCCGUCGCCGUGCUCGCAACGCGAUGGACGAGACACGGUUUUCGUCGCAAGAUCUGGUGCUGGAGAUGAAGGCGACAUCGACCUGACGCACCGGCGCCGUCGUCCAUUCCUGGCGGCGGUGCCGAAGGGAGGGAGGCGACGCCAACCUCGAUGN